rnacentral:tRNA from 1 species
AUCGAGAUGGCGCAGCGGAAGCGUGCGGGGCUCAUAACCCCGAGGUCUCAGGAUCGAAACCUGGUCUCGAUA